rnacentral:rRNA from 1 species
AUUCCAGCUCCAAUAGCGUAUAUUAAAGUUGUUGCGGUUAAAAAGCUCGUAGUUGGAUUUCUGUCGAGAAAGUGCGGUCUGCACUAUGUGCACGUAUCUGCAACUGUCUUGGCAUCCGGAAGUUUAAGGCGCGUUGCUUCAUUGCAACGUCCGUAGGCUUCUCUUUUACUUUGAGGAAAUUAGAGUGUUCACGGCAGGCAAUCGCCCUGAAUACAUUAGCAUGGAAUAAUAAUAUAGGGCCGCAGCUCUAUUUUUGUUGGUUUCUAGAGCUACGGUAAUGAUUAAUAGGGAUAAUUGGGGCAUUCGUAUUAUCACGUCAGAGGUGGAAUUCUUGGAUUUGUGUUACGACGAACUACUGCGAAAGCAUUUGCCAAGGAUGUUUUUCAUUGAUCAAGAACGAAAGUAAGGGGAUCGAAGACGCUUAGAUACCGUCGUAGUCUUUACCAUAAACUAUGCCGACUAAUAAUUGGCCGUCG